rnacentral:tRNA from 1 species
GGCCUCGUAGCUCAGCGGAUAGAGCAUCGGUCUUCGGAACCGAGUGUCGGGCGUUCGAGUCGCUCCGAGGCCA